AACGCACAUUGCGCCCGCCAGUAUUCUGGCGGGCAUGCCUGUUCGAGCGUCAUUUCAACCAUCAAGCCCCGGGCUUGUGUUGGGGACCUGCGGCUGCCGCAGGCCCUGAAAUGCAGUGGCGGGCUCGCUGUCACACCGAGCGUAGUAGCAUUAUCUCGCUCUGGGCGUGCUGCGUGUCCCGGCCGUAAAACGACCUUACACCCAAGGUUGACCUCGGAUCAGGUAGGAAGACCCGCUGAACUUAA
rnacentral:misc_RNA from 2 species